AUUCUGAAAAAUGGAUUUUGUAAUUUUAUCUAAUGAAAAAACUGCUCGCGUCUGAUGGACUUGAACCCGGUACCUCAUGGUUGACAGUCUUCUACGCUACUCAUUGGCUUAAGUCACGUUCUUACAAGAUCUGUUUAUUUAACUUAUAAGAAU